UGGUUCCCUCUGAAGUUUCCCUCAGGAUAGCUGGAGCACGUAAUAAAGCAGUUAUAUUCGAUAAAGCGAAUGAUUAGAGGAAUUGUGGGACGAAAUGUUUUCAUUCUAUUUUCAAAAUUUUCAAAGACUAUGACGUUUUGCUUGCUUGAAUGAAGCAUAGACAUUGAAUGUGUGCACCAAUGGACUGCUUUUGGUAAAGAGAGCUGGCGCGCUGUGGGAUGAACCAAACAUUGAGUAUAAGUCUUCCGCUUAAGUGCCAUCAAUUUCAGGGCUAGUUAGUUACGUAACAGACAAUAUUUUAAUAGUAAAUGUGCACGUAUUAUGCAUAUAUUCACGUAUUAUGCGUAUAUUGGAACUUAUAUAU
rnacentral:ncRNA from 1 species